CACCGUAUCCUGGAUCUCAAUGUACGUUACAGACUGUCGCGAUAGCGUUGAUCUCUUGACUGCUAGAUCUAUCUAGAUGUCAGGUCAGCAGGCCAACGAUGAUACGUAGCUACGCGAGAGCUCUGCCUACACAUGUCGAGAUGAUCAGGAUAGGGUGCUCUCGCGCGUCUCAGAUGUGCAUCAUGUCGUCAGCAUCGUGUCGUCAGAUGAUGCGUAGUCUCGCCGGAGCACCUCGUUCGUGUUGUCACAGAUAUACGCGACUCUCACGGACGCCUGUUAUCUCUGAGGAGGAUGUGAGACGUCAGAUCAUCAUGAUGCCUAUGUCUACAGCGUCACGCAUGAUACAAUAUCGGUACUACAGGAUGAUGACAGUGCGAGCUGAGCGGAUGCCUGAUAACCGCUGUCAGUCUGAUAUCAGUAUGCACUCGACUGCGUGAAGCGGAGUCGUUAGUAGUCGUGAAUCAGCAACGUCGCGGUGAAUGCGUUCCCGCCCGUCGUACACACCGCCCGUCAAGUCAUGAAAGAGGGCAGCACCAUAAGCCGGUGGCCUAACCCCCCGCGGGAGGGAGCCGUCUAAGAUGAGGCUCGUGAUUGGGAGUAAGUAGUAACAAGGUAGCCGUACCGGAAGGUGCGGCGGGAUCACCUCCUUUUUUCGGAGAAUACGGCCGGAUGUUCUUCCGCCGGUGCGUGCCCCGGCGUCGCGGCAGUCGCGGCGGUUUGGGGGGGCUGGUGUGGAAGAGAUCAUGGGCUUUCGGUUCGUCCGUCGUGGGAUGUUCUUCGGGAGUGGUGUGGAUGCGCUUUUGGGCUCCCGGAUCGCCACCCCCCCCUUUGUCCUCGCGCGAUUCGAUGACCAUCAUGCCUGAUGACGGGGGGGUCCCGUCCGGACGGCGUGGUGGUGCGUGGUGGCUUGAGAAGAGGAUAGUGGACGCGAGCAACACGGGGUUUCUUUUUGAUUCCUCUUUUUUGCUGUUGAUUUUGAAUAUAACUCUAUUUUUUUAGUGUUUGUUUCGAUCGUUUUGUGAUCAUUUUAGUGUGAUGAUUUGUCGUCUGGGAAUUUGCUAGGAAGGAUCCUUGCGGCCAUGCGCACCGUGUGUACCA
rnacentral:misc_RNA from 1 species